rnacentral:snRNA from 1 species
AUUGCUUCUUGGCCUUUUGGCUAAGAUCAAGGGUAGUAUCUGUUCUUAUCACUUUAAUAUCUGAGAAGUCCUCAGUGAGAAGACUUUAUCUUAAACGGAUUUUUGUGCCUGGGUGUUGCACCCAGAGCUUGCUCCUAAAUUUGCUUGUAUCAGGAAUAGUGUGACCAUCAGGACUAGGGCAGUGAUU